CACGUAGGGCGCAAGCGUUGUCCGGAAUUAUUGGGCGUAAAGAGCUCGUAGGUGGUUUGUUACGUCCGCUGUGAAAUCCUAGGGCUUAACCCUGGGCUUGCAGUGGAUACGGGCAGACUAGAGGUAGGUAGGGGAGAAUGGAAUUCCUGGUGUAGCGGUGAAAUGCGCAGAUAUCGAGAGGAACACCGGUGGCGAAAGGGCGGGUCCU
rnacentral:rRNA from 1 species